GAUGUACUCCCUCCGUUCAGAAAUACUUGUCAUCAAAAUAGAUAAAAAGAGAUGUAUCUCGAACUAAAAUACAUGUAGAUAUAUCUUUUUUAUCCAUUUUGAUGACAAGUAUUUUCGGACGAAAGGAGUAUGUA
rnacentral:pre_miRNA from 1 species